UACAGAGGUCCCAAGCGUUGUUCGGAUUCACUGGGCGUAAAGGGUGCGUAGGUGGUCAGGUAAGUCGGAUGUGAAAUCUCCGAGCUCAACUCGGAAACUGCAUUGGAAACUACCUGGCUCGAGGGUUGGAGGGGGGACUGGAAUGCUUGGUGUAGCAGUGAAAUGCGUAGAUAUCAAGCGGAACACCAGUGGCGAAGGCGAGUCCCUGGACAACUCCUGACACUGAUGCACGAAAGCUAGGGGAGCAAAUGGG
rnacentral:rRNA from 1 species